rnacentral:rRNA from 1 species
UGGGGAAUUUUGGACAAUGGGCGCAAGCCUGAUCCAGCCAUGCCGCGUGCGGGAAGAAGGCCUUCGGGUUGUAAACCGCUUUUGUCAGGGAAGAAACGCUCUGGGCUAAUACCCUGGGGUAAUGACGGUACCUGAAGAAUAAGCACCGGCUAACUACGUGCCAGCAGCCGCGGUAAUACGUAGGGUGCAAGCGUUAAUCGGAAUUACUGGGCGUAAAGCGUGCGCAGGCGGUUAUGCAAGACAGAUGUGAAAUCCCCGGGCUCAACCUGGGAACUGCAUUUGUGACUGUAUAGCUAGAGUACGGUAGAGGGGGAUGGAAUUCCGCGUGUAGCAGUGAAAUGCGUAGAUAUGCGGAGGAACACCGAUGGCGAAGGCGGCCAUCUGGUUGGAUACUGACGCUGAGACGCGAAAGCGUGGGGAGCAAACAGGAUUAGAUACCCGUGUAGUCCCUGAGCGGGCUGGCAAGGCGCAU